GACGAACGCUGGCGGCGUGCUUAACACAUGCAAGUCGAGCGGUAAGGCCCUUUCGGGGUACACGAGCGGCGAACGGGUGAGUAACACGUGGGUGACCUGCCCUCAGCUCUGGGAUAAGCCUGGGAAACCGGGUCUAAUACUGGAUAUGACUCCAUGACGCAUGUUGUGGGGUGGAAAGCCUUGUGCGGCUGAGGAUGGGCCCGCGGCCUAUCAGCUUGUUGGUGGGGGGA
rnacentral:rRNA from 1 species